CGCCGGCGAUGUUUCAUUCAAAUUUCUGCCCUAUCAACUUUCGACGGUAGGGUAGUGGCCUACCGUGGUGGUAACGGGUGACGGAGGAUUAGGGUUCGAUUCCGGAGAGGGAGCCUGAGAAACGGCUACCACAUCCAAGGAAGGCAGCAGGCGCGCAAAUUACCCAAAUCCCAACUCGGGGAGGUAGUGACAAGAAAUAACGAUGCUCCGGCCAUCGGUCGGGUAAUCGGAAUGAGAACAAUUUAAAUCCCUUAUCGAGGAUCAAUUGGAGGGCAAGUCUGGUGCCAGCAGCCGCGGUAAUUCCAGCUCCAAUAGCGUAUAUUUAAGUUGCUGCGGUUAAAAAGCUCGUAGUCGGAUUUCGGGUGGUGCCUACCGGUCCGCCUUUGGUGUGUACUGGUAGGCGCCACCUUUCUGCCGAGGACGGGUUCCUGGGCUUAACUGUCUGGGGCCCGGAGUCGGCGAUGUCACUUUGAGUAAAUUAGGGUGUUUAAAGCAGGCUUAUGCUCUGUAUACACUAGCAUGGGAUGACACGAUAGGACUUCGGUCUAUCUUGUCGGUCUGUAGAUCGGAGUAAUGAUUAAGAGGGACAGUCGGGGGCAUUCGUAUUUCGUAGUCAGAGGUGAAAUUCUUGGAUUUACGGAAGACGAACUUCUGCGAAAGCAUUUGCCAAGGAUGUUUUCAUUGAUCAAGAACGAAAGUCGGGGGCUCGAAGACGAUUAGAUACCGUCGUAGUCUCGACCAUAAACGAUGC
rnacentral:rRNA from 1 species